GAUAGCGUCCAGGAGCUAGUGGGUGACAACAUGGAGCCCCGUGGAGCCGCGCGGGCGCUUCAGGGGCAGGCAUCGUGGUUUUGACUCUUCCCAGGGGCCUGGCGAGGGGACGUGUUUCCUGAGAAUGCGCAUCCCUGCCGGGGUAGAACAUUCAAGAAGUGUGUUCAGGAUGGAUUAAGUGGGAAGAGGCCGUUGCAAAAUAAUGUAAAACCAAGAUAUUGUGCGGAAAGCAGUAUCUGACAUAGCCGAGGGACAGGCUGUCGGCUCAUUUUACAUUUGGGUGGGGGUGGGGAGAAAGGUGAUUUUUAUUUAUUUAUUUAUUUUUUAUUUGCUGCAUUUGCAAGCAGGCAUCCCCAGCCUGGCUCUUCUGGAAGCAAACCUGGUGAACUCCUGAGCCCUCCAGCAAGGCGGGCAGGGCCCGAAUGUCUGGAGAGGACUUUGGACCGUGUAGCGGGCACCUCCCUUGCUAGGGGGUGCAGGGUGAUGAGGAAGCUCUGGCCCCUGAGGUAGAGGAUGAAAAAGGACCCCGGUUCAAGUAACCAGAAUGGAAAAUGGCAUCUGACAGGAACUCCUGCCAGGAACCUCUCCCUGGUUAACACCCACACCCCAUACAAAACAACCCCUUGAAAGCAGGCCCCCUUGGCAACCGAGAAGAAGCUGGUGAAGACAUUUCGCCUGCGUCUGUGAGGUGGUAUCAGCAGGCAGGGCUGGGCCUGACAUGCACCCCUCCCUGUGCUUCUCGGAAAACUGGUGACUGUGUGUCAUCUGACCUUCAGCACAGAAGGUGGUGAUGUGGCAAGCCCAGGCUUGCUCCCUGGCGCCUGCUUAGCCCUGUUUCUCUGCCAGGGGAAGAUUCCGGCAGUGCGGCCUCCUCCAGGAUCUGCCCCAUCAGUCUCUUCCUGACUGUAUCUCCAGGGGUGGGUUGGGGUGGGGUGAUUUGGCCUGAAAGAACCGUGUGGAAAGAGGGAAUUGUCUGUCAAAAUGUUCUAGAAAGCUGGGCAGCUUAUGAAACCAAUGGAGGAGUCUUCACUGCUGCUUCACAGUACUGGGCAGUGGAGUCAGCCAGACCUUUCUUUAUCUCACCAGGCAUCUGAGAGGUGGGUCGUCCCCGCUGUAGUGCUGUUUCUGGGCCCCAGUUGAUGUCUUAACUUGCUUUUCUCUAUUUCAGGUCUCGAAAUCUCUCUAAUUCACACACAUCAUUCCCAAAUCCCAGAAACAAACUAUGGUAGAUUUUAUUUUUCAAAAAAGAGUGGGAUCCAUUCGCUUUUGAAGGCCAUGGUGGGAGGAUUGCCUAGAGGCCAGGAGUUCGAGACCAGCCUGGGAAACACAGCAAGACCCUGUCUCUACAAAAAAUGAAAGAAAAAAAAAAAAAAAAGCCAGGUGCACAUGACUGCCUGUAGUCUCAGCUACUGGGGAGACUGAGGCAGCAGGAUCCCUUGAGCCUAGGAUUUUGAGGCUGCAGUGAGCUAUGAUUGUGCCACUGCACUCCAGGCUGGCCAACAAGAGUGAGACCCUUUCUAAUACAUAUAUAUAUAUAGAUUUUUUUUUAAGUAGGGACAAUUACUGACAUACAAAACAUAGGAUUCUGUAAAGCAUAGGCUUCCCUGUCACAAAGGGAACCAAGUCUCCUUUGUGCCCUUGUAUCUGGAGCUGCCUUUGCCACCCUGGGUUUUCAAGGACAAAAGGGCACUGUUUCAGAGGGUCCUUAUGUAGAAGCUUUGCUGGCCUCCAAGUUCCACACAGCUCGUUUUUCUCGGGAAAGGAAUGUAUUUAAGGAGAGAUGAGCUGAGGGUAGACAACCACAUGGAUAUCUCUGUCCUGCCUUAAGGGGCCAAAGCUGUGCCCACAGUAAGGAGGGUACACAUUGGGCCUGGGUUCUGCUCUCUUCCUCUACAAAUAAGUCUAAAAAUACCUCUGCCCAGCUGGAGGGUGAGAGCAGGAAGGCCGGUGUCAGCAGAUUUCUCUAGAUCAAAACAAGUUGUUCCAGAAAACAGCAGCAAACAGAGGCCCUUGGAUUCCGGGGUGGAGCUGGGUGGUGAAGGGCCCGCCCUGCCUGUGUGGGUGGCCAACUCCUGCUUCUUCCCAGGCAGACAGAGGAACAGGAGGGGGCUGCUUUGGCAACAUCUGGAUUCCAGGGUUAGGGCCCUGUCUCCAAGCCCUUUCUUUCUUUUCUUUUUUUUUUUGAUGGAGUCUCACUCUGUUGCCCAGGCUGGAGUGCAGUGGUGUGAUCUCUGCUCACUGCACCCUCCCUCCUGGGUUCAAGUGAUUUUCCUGCCUCAGCCUCCCGAGUAGCUGGGACUAUAGGCUUACACCACCACAUUGGCUAAUUUUUUUUUUUUUUUUUUGUAUUUUUAGUAGAGACAGGGUUUUACCACAUUGGCCAGGCUGGUCUCCAACUCCUGACCUCAAGUGAUCCACCUGCCUUGACCUCCCAAAGUGCUGCGAUUACAGGGGUAGCCACCGCGCCUGGCCCCUGUCUCCAAGCCCUUUCUUGCGGCUAUUGCCAAUCAGGGUCACUGGUCUCCCGGGUGCCUGGAGCCCCACAUCUUGUUCUGAAGCCAGGUCAGCUCUGUGGUUUCCAAACAUAUAGACAGACCAGUCCCAGGAAGUACCCGGGAUUUCCCACAGGAGCCCCUGGAAAAGGGGAGCAGAAGCCGGGUAAGAAAGGGUGGUUCUUCAGGCUUAUACCAAGGGCAGGACAAUGACAGUGUUGCUACUACUGCUUGAGAAUGUGCAGGGCCCCAGCCCUCCAUUCUCCACGGGUCUAGUUCUGGAGCUGUGGCCUCCAGGGCCAUUUUGGGCUCCCCGCUCACCAGAGAUCUGAGGCCUAGGCCCUUUCUGAGCCCUGAGGCCCCUCAGCUCAGGGCCUGGGUCUGGAAACUGCACUGUCACUGUGUGCUGGCCGGGAGCCCGCCUUUCACGCCUCGCAGCCAGUGCAGGAAACACAAGCUGGGCCCCACCCCCAACUCUAACCGGCCUCUUCCUGUGAGGCUCCGGCCUGCUCUGCCCCCACCUCUCAUGUGACCAGGGUAGGCCACCCCUCCCAGCCUUGCUUCCCCCAUUUUGAGGCUCCUCUCGGCCCUAACAUCUCUUGAUUCUGACAGUGUAGUGUUUCCUGGAACACUCUUCACCUAGUUGCUGCCUAGUCCACUUCCACUGCUCCUUCAGGCCUCUGCCCUAAGGUCACCACUCAGCCAGCCUCCUGACCACAACUCUAAAGCGCCGCCCCAACUUGAUCUCCUCGAGGGAGGGGUUUCGGUCUGUUUUGCCCGGGAUUGCUGUGCCCUGGCACGUGACUCUGCACUUUGUUUUGUAAAGGUCACUGAGCACCCUGAGGCUCUGGGUAAAUAUUUGUGGACUGACUGAGGAAGGGAGUUCCCAGGUCAGCUGCAGCCCCAUAAAUGUGAUGACAGGCCCAGCUCUGUGGGGUCCCAGGUCAGGAGGCAGGAGAGGGAAGAAGGACAGCGGCUGCUCUCAGUGGACUGGGACUGCCUGGGGUGGCCAAGGGGAACUGGGGUGCACUCUCAGCCACACGUUGGCAAAGGCAUUUGAGGGAGAGGGCAUCAGAGGGAGGGGGUCUCCCAUGGCCCUGGUUUACAAAGCUGAGGUGAGGUGAGGUGAGCAUGCCCCAGGGCUGCUGCACCUACAGGAGCCGACUGUCCCAACCCCAGCCCCACGGGCCCUUCCUCCUUCCCAACUGUCCUGGGCCCUCCCUCAGCACCUCCCAUUCCCCCCCCACCCCCAAACAUACUGAGCCCUCCGGCUAUUUUUAACACUUUGACCUAAUGUGGGCUGGUCCACCACAUGUGCUGGAAAGCAGGCCGCCCACCAGGAAGGCGAGGCAGGGGAGGACCCUCAGGAGGGGGCUUCUCACUCUUGCAUUUGACCCGUCACCUCGGGCUGCGUGGGGUCUGUGCACGCCCUUUCCUCACUACUGCCAAGGCAGAUCUAAGGGGGGCUUCCUCUGCCCAGGGCCAAGCCCCAGGCCUCGGGCUGUGCUUUACAGGAAAGAACUUUGCGGUGUCAGCCCCCUGCAUCCGGAUGUCCUGGGACUGUCCCCUGUUCCGUGCCAUGCUAGAGUGCCUGGGCACCUGCCCCUUACCCCAGGCCUUGGUCCCCCGUCCUCCUGAGCACUCACCCACUCCUUGGAGCCUUGCCUGAGCUGGCACCCUAGAACACCCUGUCCUCCUUGCCUCCUCCUGCCUCUUCACCAGCUCACUGCUACCUCUGUCUCCUGUAGCCCCAUCCUGUCACAGAGCUCACGAGACCUUCCUGUUCCCACCCUGCCACGCUGAGCGCCUGUGUCCUCACUCCUGUUCCCGCAGAGAGAAGGCCUGUGGAAUGCGUGGCUGGGCCCCAUAGCCCUGCCUCCCCGGGCUGCCCUGCACCUCCAGCGGCCCCUAGACCUCCUCCAACCCUCCCCACCCUCCUUGGCCAAAUAAGCGAGCCCAGCUUUCCUAGGCCCCACACUUUCGCCUGUGCUAACCUUUCCAGCCUCCUCCCCAAGCCCACCCACUGGGAAUCCUGGCGCCAGCUCCUCUGAGCAGGGAGCCCAGGUGCUGACAUCCCACUACCUCCACCCCUAGGUUUGCAAAGCCCUCUGUCUUCAGGACCGCCAGCCGCCCCCACUGCCAGAGCCUACCACUUCCUCUUGGGUCCCUGCUGAUGGGAAUGGCCUGCACUGUGCUUGUCCCGGUGGCCCCAUCACAGCACCAGUUGUGACUGUCCUUGAAUCUCUGAAGGAGCCUUUUCUGCCCCAACCCACCUUGGUCUGACUGAGUGCCCUCUGUGAGCAAGUUGGCCAUGGUGCCAGGGCUUCUGCGGGGAGUAGAACCCCCCUGCCCGGGAGGCUGCUGACCUUGACGAUACUGUAUGGGAGGCCUGUGCUCUCGCUGGCUGGGAGAACUUGUCAGGGUCACUGCCACCCCCACAACAAAGUGCCAAGGUCAGAUGGGCACCGGACAAAGAAGUCCUUGGGAAGAGCUGGGACUAUUAUUCUCUCUUUUGCAAAUUAUGUCAAAUAGUUAAAAAUAGCAGGAAGACUUAGUGUGUGAGGUGGGGACAGGAGGUGCUGGAAGAGGGCUCAGGGCAGCUGGGAAGGAGGAAGGGCCCAGGGGCAGAGGCCGGACAGUCAACUGCCUCAGGAGGGAGGCGACUAGUGCCAGGUUGUGCUCACUCCACCUCUUAGAUGUCUCCAAAUAGCCCCAGUUUAAGUAUUUUUACUAAGCUGUCAUUUCACAGAAAAGCACACAUCUACAGCAGAAUCCGUUUCCAGGACAUGGAUCCUGACCUUUGGAAAACUCAGGACCCAUCACGAAGCUGAGGAAUGCCCCCGCCCACCACCAGGGAAACAAACCCCUUACCCUGUGUUCUUGAAAGUUGGGGACCCCCAUCAUGGGCCCAGUGGCAGGAAGAAGGUCAGGGCAGUCAGGAGCCAGGACUCCCACUCUGAGAGCGGGUGAGCCCGCAGCGCCAGACCCAAGGCCCCCGAGAUUCUGUCGUGGGGCACGACCCUGGUUCCAGGUUGCCUGGGCGGGCAGUGCUGCUCACUGUCACUGUCCCUGCAGCCCGGCAGGAGGAAAGGGUGAGCUCAGCUGCCCCCUGCUGGCCGCAGCCGAACCAGCAACCUGCAGAUGGGAGUAGGCUCCGCCCCACCCACGCUGUCCGCCCAGUGGGGGCGAGAGGAGCCGGGCCACCACACGGCACUGGACUUGCUGCUUAAAACUGAAGUCCUCAGACCCAGGCCCAGCCCUGCACCCCCAUUCUGGGUGAAGUUGGGUAGUCUGCCUACUUUCUUUGAAAUGUGGGGUGGAUUUGGACAGGGAGAAAAAUGCCAGGUAGCUCUAAAAGUCCUCUGCACAAAGGAGAAGAAUGAGCGAUGAGAAUCUGUCCCGAGGCCUGCACCUCCUUUGGGUCAGCACUGUCAGUGUCCCUUAGGCUCAAAGUCACAGGCUUUGGUUGACUGUCCCUGCUCCAUCCCAUGCCCUCUCUCUUUGCUGCAUUUACCUGUAUCCUACUGAGCCUGUCAGGCCCCCUCCUCCAGGAAGCCUUGUUUGAUCACUGCUCCCCCUCCCAGUCUAUUGUCUGUCUUUGUGUUGGGUGGUGGCCUGCACAUCUGUUGGGGCAUCAUGUGUGUGCAAAGUGACCCAUUUUCCUGGUCUUUAUGUUCUUAUCCCCGGUGUCAUCUGAAAAGCUGCCUGGACUCUGAGCUGAUGUCUCCAUGGGUAACUCUGUUGCUAAUCCUGCAACCCUGUGUGCGGGGAGCAGUUGGAACUCCUGCUCCCUGACAAGUGUCAGAGGCCCCUGGCACAUCCACCCCAGCCCUCUCCUUCCCAGCUUUAUCUGUGCCCCUUGCACCACUGUUUUUUCAGACUGAGCAUGACAGCGUCCUGGGUCGCCUUGGUCGCUGUGGCUUUUCUGAGUCCCAGCAGCACCUCUGGCCUCCCGUGUGUCUCUCCAUGCACUGCCACUUGGCUGGGGGCUGGCCACAUGAAGCCUCAGCUGUGGGUCUGCGCAAGCCUCUUGCUGGGCUCUGGUUGUGGCUGGAGCCUCCUGUGUCCAGCUAGCCCCGGGUUGGGAAGCCCGCAGGAAUGCCCCAGCUGCUGCUGUAAGUGGAGAAUGACCUGGAAACCCCAGCCUCAGAAGGGACAGUAGGAUCGCAUGUGUUGACUGUUCUGGUCACCUCUGCUUCCUGCAUUCUGAAGAGUUAGGGAGAGUCUGGGGACUGGGGACUGUGAAGACCUCGUCCCACUGCACUGUCCUCAGGGGCAGUCUGGGCAGAGCCUCUUCAGGUCUUCAGGCCUCUGGAUCCAGGUGCUGGCUGAGCCAGGCUGUGCGUGCCAGGCUGGCAGGUGGCAAAGUCACUCCUGCUGCCCCGUGCAACCCAAGCGUAGCUAGGAUUUGAAAAUAACAGCUGUUCCGGCAUUAAAGAACCCCAAAGAAGUCCAAGACAAUCAUCUGUAGGGUAGUGGUAAGGGUUAAAUCGUGUUCCCCCAAAAGGAUAUGUCGAAGUCCUAACCCUCAGUGCAUCAGAAUGUGACAUGAUGUGGGAACAGGAUCAUUGCAGGUGUUAUUAGUUAAGAUGAGCUCAUGGUGGAGUAGGGUGGGCCCCUAGUCUAAUCUGACUGGUGUCUUUGUAAGAACACAGCCAUGUGAAGACACAGACACUAAGGAAGAUGCCAGAUGACCACAUAGGCAGAGACUGGCUGUGCAGCCGCAAGCCAAUGAAUGCCUGAACGGCCAGCAAGGCACCAGAAGCUAGGAGCAGGCAAGGAAGGCCUCUCCUAUGGGUUGCAGAGGGAGCACGGCCCUGCUGAGCUGAAACCUGGAUUUUGGACUUGUAGCCCCCAGAACUGUGAGACAAUCAGUUUACUUUUUUUUUUUUUUUGAGACAGAGUUUUGCUCUGUCACCCAGGCUGGAGUGCAAUGGCACGAUCUCGGCUCACUGCAACCUCCGCCUCCCGGGUUCAAGCGAUUCUCCUGCCUCAGCCUCCCCAGUAGCUGGGAUUACACGCAUGCGCCACCAUGCCUAGCUAAUAUUGUAUUUUUAGUAGAGACAGGGCUUCUCCACGUUGGUCAGGCUGGUCUCAAACUCCCGACCUCAGGUUAUCCGCCCGCCUUGGCCUCCCAAAGUGCUGGGUUUACAGGCGUGAGCCACUGCACCUGGCCGAAGUGAGUUGUUUUUUCGGAAUUUUUUUUUUUUUUUCGAGACAGGGUCUUGCUCUGUUGCCCAGGCUGGAGUGCACAGUGGUGUGAACACAGCUCGCUGUAUCCUCGACCUCCUGGGCCCAGGCGAUCCUCUAGUCUCAGCUUCCCAAGCAGCUGGGCACGACAGGCUUGUGCCACCAUGCCUGGCUAAUUUUUUUUGUUUUUGUAGCAAUGGGGUUUCGCCAUGUUGCCCAGGCUAGGCUCAAGUGACCCUCCCGCCUUGGCCUCCCAAAGUGCUGGGAUUACAGUAGCAAGCCACUGUGCCUGGCCUGGGCACUGUUAUUCCCACGAAAGGUCACAGGUGCCCAUGGUCAUGGCAUUGUGCUGCCUUGCCAGGCAAAGAUGAUCACACAGAGGACAAGGUGCCACUCACUGUCAUGGACACCCAAGGAGACGGCCCUGUUCCCAGGACUACGCUGCCACAGGGACAGGUGGCUUACUCCUCCCAUCUCUGGAAACAUUGUGAACCCCAAUCCCCCAGUGGCGCUCAUCCUGCAGGCCCAGGUCCUGGGUGGCUGCUGCAGGGCUCAGAGUCCUCCAGGGGUCUGCUACUGUCCCUUCCCUCCCAGGUAGGUGUUGACAGCAGGAUCUGUGGGAAACAAACGGCCUCCUGCCAGGCCUGGAGCAUGAGGUGCCCUCAGGAAGGGCAUGAGCAUCUGCAGUUACCCACCUUGGUCCCCACAGGAACCCCAGAGCCCCUCCUGGGCAACGUGGGGCUGGGAGUACAAGCCGCCAAGAUGAGACAGCUUCACUCGGGUGCUCCGUGGGCAUCAACCUGGCUGGCCUGAGGGCUGCACACCUUGACGUACGUUUCAUGAAAACCAAACAUGCAGCCUGUAAUCAACUCUUGGACUGUCACGGACACACCCUCAUUAUUUCAUAUCAUGAGCUGCCCCAGAGUUUGUUAGAAACUGAUUUUAAUAAGUCACAUGAUACAAAAGAAUGAGAACAUUCAAAGAAUGAGUAAAAUACUGCUUUGUCCCAAAGGACAAGCAGAAAAUGUUAAGGCACAAUGGAUGCUCAGAAAACGUAAGAAGCUGAAGGGAAAACACAUCAUCUGUGUACUCAGACACACACACUCCAACCCAUCACACGAACACACCCUCGCCCGCCCAUCAGAGAAGAAUUCGCCUGGAAUCAGCUGGGGGCGGUGGCUCACGCCUAUAAUCCCAGCACUUUGGGAGGUUGAGGCGGGCAGAUCAUGAGGUCAGGAGUUCACGACCAGCCUGACCAACAUGGUGAAACCCUAUCUCUACUAAAAAUACAAAAAUCAGCGGGGCCUGGUGGCAUGCACCUGUAAUCCCAGCUACUCAGGAGGCUGAGGCAGGAGAAUCGCUUGAGACAGAGGUUGCAGUGAGCCGAGAUGCGCCACUGCACUCCUGCCUGGGCAACAGAGCAAGACUCCGUCUCAAAAAAAAUAAAAAAAUAAAAAAAAUAAAAUCACCUGGAAUCAAAGCAGCAGGGACAGCCUGCGCUGGAGCCGCCAGAACAGGCAGGCGGGCAGCUCCG
rnacentral:lncRNA from 1 species